rnacentral:lncRNA from 1 species
GGGUGCGCAGAAGCAGGGCGCAAAGAAGGCGCCUGCCAAGAAGGGCAAGGCUGCCGGCGCCAAGAAGAAGGCGUCUCUUUCGCGCAGCCGCUCUGGCAGCAGGUACCAACUAUCCCACAUCACCUCCAGUAGAACAGCUUUGCAAUUUUUGCAUUUGAAGCAUCCCCAUGCAUGCAUGUCCAUGACUUAAAAAGGCUGCUAUCAGGGAUUGAAGCACCCAUGUCUCAGGAAUCAUUUUGAUCGUCUCACAUGCAUUCCUUCACCCUUCCAUCAAUCUGAACAGCCUCCUUUGUGUGUCAUGCGAAUUUGAAGGCCGCCUGACAUGGAGAGCUCUUCGCAUGACAGCGUGUGCAUGAUCACAGGAGGACGACGCCUGCAAGCAGCAACGAGGAGGAGGCAUCAGACGAGGAGGAAGACGCGUCGCAGGAGUCAUCAGAGUCUGACGUGGACGAGUCAGACUUGGAGCGCGUGGAGAAGAUCCUGGACGUGCGCGAAGACAAGGGCGGCAAGGAGAAGAUCUUUGUCAAAUUCAAG